CUACGGGCCGCUGCAGUGGGGAAUAUUGCACAAUGGGCGCAAGCCUGAUGGAGCCAUGCCGCGUGUAUGAAGAAGGCCUUCGGGUUGUAAAGUACUUUCAGCGGGGAGGAAGGGAGAAAAGUUAAUACCUUUGCUCAUUGACGUUACCCGCAGAAGAAGCACCGGCUAACUCCGUGCCAGCAGGCCGCGGUAAUACGGAGGGUGCAAGCGUUAAUCGGAAUUACUGGGCGUAAAGCGCACGCAGGCGGUUUGUUAAGUCAGAUGUGAAAUCCCCGGGCUCAACCUGGGAACUGCAUCUGAUACUGGCAAGCUUGAGUCUCGUAGAGGGGGGUAGAAUUCCAGGUGUAGCGGUGAAAUGCGUAGAGAUCUGGAGGAAUACCGGUGGCGAAGGCGGCCCCCUGGACGAAGACUGACGCUCAGGUGCGAAAGCGUGGGGAGCAAACAGGAUUAGAUACCCGAGUAGUC
rnacentral:rRNA from 1 species